rnacentral:rRNA from 1 species
ACAGUUUGAUCUUGGCUCAGAUUGAACACUGGCGGCAGGCCUAACACAUGCAAGUCCAACUGUAACAGGAAGUGCUUGCACUUCGCUGACGAGUGGCAGACGGGUGAGUAUUGCUUGGGAACUUGCCUUUGCGAGGGGGAUGGCAAUUGGAAACGACUGCUAAUACCGCAUAACGUCUACAUCACCAGACCGGGCUUAGGCUCCGGCGCAGAGAGAGGCCCAAGUGAGAUUAGCUAGUUGGUUAGGUAAAGGCUUACCAAGGCAACGAUCUCUAGCUGUUCUGAGAGGAAGAUCAAGCCUCACUGGCAACUGAGACACGGUCCAGACUCCUACCGGAGGCAGCAGUGGGGAAUAU